UACGAAGGGGGCUAGCGUUGUUCGGAAUUACUGGGCGUAAAGGGCGCGUAGGCUGUGCUGUAAGUCAGGCGUGAAAUCCCCGGGCUCAACCUGGGAAUUGCGUUUGAUACUGCGGCGCUUGAAUGCAGGAGAGGAUGGCGGAAUUCCCAGUGUAGAGGUGAAAUUCGUAGAUAUUGGGAAGAACACCGGUGGCGAAAGCGGCUCUCUGGGUCGACACU
rnacentral:rRNA from 1 species